ensembl:lncRNA
CCAUAGGAACACAAGUCAUGCUACAUGCACUUGAUUCUGGAUUCAAAUAAUGAAUGACUUUCAGAUAAGUUUUUGACUAACAUAUUUGUUCCCCGAGUCACACCUCAUGGCUGAAGGAGAAUAUACACAUCUCUCCAGUUCCUUGCAUCCCUCUGAGUUAGCCCUCCCUGCUGCUUAAGCAGAAAUGGGUCAGUAGCAGGGACUCCCUCCAGCACCUGCAAGAAUGAACAUCAGCAGCAACAUAAUUUUAUACCCACUGAUGGUGGCAUUGUUGCCAGCAUAGAAUAAAUCAUAUGCUCUGCAGUGACUGUGCCUAUGUCCUGUUCCUUUCCAGUGCUUGCUGUCUUCCACUGUCACAGCAAGGAUGAUGAACCAGGGUCAGAAGAAUGUGUAUUUCCUUCUGCACAGUUCAUAAAAUAGCUCUGUGACAACUCUCUGAAAUACCAAUAAGAACUCAUUUUCCCCCUGCCUCCAUGUGCUCACGAGUGCAUGAGUAAAUACAAGCUGACAUGUGAUUUGUAUGUGUGCAGCAUUGCGAGGCACUGUUCUCCUUCACGCUGCCAAUCUGUUGCUGUGACCACAUGUCUCAUGAAGAGAGGAACAGCUCAAGAACAGCGCAAGCCUCCCUGAAACACGCAGCACAAACCCAUGGCAGGGUACUACAGGCAUCCUGCUGGGAACCACAAACAUCCUUGUCCAUUCACAGGGAUCAAAACCCACCUCAACAACAUAUUUUCAGAGGGAAAACAAUCAGCCUCAGAAGGAGAAGUGGAAGGCCAACAGACUGAGUCCAAUCUUUGCCAAAAUUGGUGAACAAAGAUGCUCGUAUAUGGCCCUGUGACGAGGAUGGCAGCUCCUCUCAUCUCCCUCCAGCUCUGUGUGGCCACACAAGGGUUGCACUGCCCAUCCCUUCACACCAACAACCAGCAUUAAUUGGAUGCAAACCUAUGGAGGGAGCAUCAUGGAGGGGAAGUUAGAGGAUGGAAAAGCAAGAUGAGCAAUGCCUGGGAGAGAGGUGAUGCCACCAAGAGCACCUGGGUUUCUGGCUGCUCUCACCAGCUCCUGCUGCCAACCUGGAAGCACCGUGGAGGAUACAGGAAGACACAGAACAGGGUGUGGAAGUGACCUUAUCACAUUUGCUUCUUUUCUGAUUUGCAUUUGCUGCCUGUCAGCUUUAAGCUACAUCCCAGGGGCUGGGUAGGGUGAGGGCAGAGCUGCAGUGCCUGCUCCCUCCUGCCUCCCUGUGAGGCAGUUCCCUCCCAGGUGUUUUAUACCCAUGAAGUGCUGCCAAGGGAUCACCAUGGGGCUUAGCAUAGAGCUCACAUUGAUGAUAUCUUACCGUCAAUUGUACUGUGUUUUUAUCUGUGCACUUUUCUUUCCAGGCCACAACUGCAGUAACUUCACAGCUGAUUCUGAACCAGGGUUUUCAUGAAGCUUCACACACCUAUUUCUGGCCAUGUUUUUAAUUUGUAUUUUUAAAUUUAUUAUUAUUAUUAUUAUUAUUAGCCUUAGUGAGAACUGGUGGGAGAUGUGCAGCUAUGACUAGUGAGUAAAUCCACUCAACAUGUAGCCUUCUGCUGGCAAAUGCACAUAGUCUGGGUGUGCAGGAACUCUGGGAGGUAUCCCAGCCAUGUCUCUGUCCUGCAAUCAUCUGGAGAAGCCUCAUUGCAUUCACAAUGACUUUUUGCAGACUCUCACUGCCACAGCUGCGGUGUUUUUUAUGUUUAAGGGUGCUGUGAAGAUUGUCAUGCAAAUGCCUGACUUUCCGUACGAUCAGUGGAUGAAAAC